rnacentral:misc_RNA from 1 species
GCGUCAGAUGUGUAUAAGGGACAGGUGAGUCAUCGAAUCUUUGAACGCACAUUGCGCCCCUUGGUAUUCCGGGGGGCAUGCCUGUUCGAGCGUCAUAAUAACCCUCAAGCUUAGCUUGGUGUUGGGGCGUGCCUUUGGGCAGCUCUUAAAGCAAGUGGCGGUGCCGUCUGGCUCUAAGCGUAGUAAUAUACCCUCGCUAUAGUGUCCGGUGGUUAGCUUGCCAAAACCCCUAAACUUCUAUGUUUGACCUCGGAUCAGGUAGGGAUACCCGCUGAACUUAAGCAUAUCAAUAAGCGGAGG